AUGAACGCUAGCUACAGGCUUAACACAUGCAAGUCGAGGGGCAGCAUGGUCUUAGCUUGCUAAGGCCGAUGGCGACCGGCGCACGGGUGAGUAACGCGUAUCCAACCUGCCUUACACUCUUGGACAGCCUUCUGAAAGGGAGAUUAAUACAAGAUGUUAUCAUGAGUAAGCAUUUUCGCAUGAUUAAAGGUUUACCGGUGUAAGAUGGGGAUGCGUUCCAUUAGAUAGUAGGCGGGGUAACGGCCCACCUAGUCUUCGAUGGAUAGGGGUUCUGAGAGGAAGGUCCCCCACAUUGGAACUGAGACACGGUCCAAACUCCUACGGGAGGCAGCAGUGAGGAAUAUUGGUCAAUGGACGAGAGUCUGAACCAGCCAAGUAGCGUGAAGGAUGAAGGUUCUAUGGAUUGUAAACUUCUUUUAUACGGGAAUAAACGAAUCCACGUGUGGAUUUUUGCAUGUACCGUAUGAAUAAGGAUCGGCUAACUCCGUGCCAGCAGCCGCGGUAAUACGGAGGAUCCGAGCGUUAUCCGGAUUUAUUGGGUUUAAAGGGAGCGUAGAUGGGUUGUUAAGUCAGUUGUGAAAGUUUGCGGCUCAACCGUAAAAUUGCAAUUGACACUGGCAGUCUUGAGUACAGUUGAGGUAGGCGGAAUUCGUGGUGUAGCGGUGAAAUGCUUAGAUAUCACGAAGAACUCCGAUUGCGAAGGCAGCUUACUAACCUGUAACUGACAUUGAUGCUCGAAAGUGUGGGUAUCAAACAGGAUUAGAUACCCUGGUAGUCCACACGGUAAACGAUGAAUACUCGCUGUAGGCGAUAUACAGUCUGCGGCCAAGCGAAAGCAUUAAGUAUUCCACCUGGGGAGUACGCCGGCAACGGUGAAACUCAAAGGAAUUGACGGGGGCCCGCACAAGCGGAGGAACAUGUGGUUUAAUUCGAUGAUACGCGAGGAACCUUACCCGGGCUUAAAUUGCAACCGAAUAUGGCGGAAACGCUAUAGCUAGCAAUAGCGGUUGUGAAGGUGCUGCAUGGUUGUCGUCAGCUCGUGCCGUGAGGUGUCGGCUUAAGUGCCAUAACGAGCGCAACCCUUGCCGAUAGUUACUAACAGGUCAUGCUGAGGACUCUGUCGGGACUGCCAUCGUAAGAUGUGAGGAAGGUGGGGAUGACGUCAAAUCAGCACGGCCCUUACGUCCGGGGCUACACACGUGUUACAAUGGGGGGUACAGAGGGCUGCUACCACGCAAGUGGAUGCCAAUCCCAAAAACCUCUCUCAGUUCGGAUUGAAGUCUGCAACCCGACUUCAUGAAGCUGGAUUCGCUAGUAAUCGCGCAUCAGCCACGGCGCGGUGAAUACGUUCCCGGGCCUUGUACACACCGCCCGUCAAGCCAUGGGAGCCGGGGGUACCUGAAGUGCGUAACCGCAAGGAGCGCCCUAGGGUAAAACUGGUGACUGGGGCU
rnacentral:rRNA from 1 species